rnacentral:rRNA from 1 species
UGGGGAAUAUUGCGCAAUGGGCGAAAGCCUGACGCAGCGACGCCGCGUGAGGGAUGAAGGUUUUCGGAUCGUAAACCUCUGUCAGAAGGGAAGAAACCGCACUGUGCUAAUCAGCGGUGCCUUGACGGUACCUUCAAAGGAAGCACCGGCUAACUCCGUGCCAGCAGCCGCGGUAAUACGGAGGGUGCAAGCGUUAAUCGGAAUUACUGGGCGUAAAGCGCACGUAGGCUGCUUUGUAAGUCAGGGGUGAAAUCCCACGGCUCAACCGUGGAACUGCCUUUGAUACUGCUUAGCUUGAAUCCGGGAGAGGGUGGCGGAAUUCCAGGUGUAGGAGUGAAAUCCGUAGAUAUCUGGAGGAACAUCAGUGGCGAAGGCGGCCACCUGGACCGGUAUUGACGCUGAGGUGCGAAAGCGUGGGGAGCAAACAGG